AAGGAAGAAUAAAAGAAAAGGAAAAAAAUAUAUUACAUUUGCUUCGGCUGAUUUUUUUAAGGAGAAAAAAUUGGAUUGAUAUGAAAAAUCUUAAAAGUAUUUUACAGAUGUUCGUCUCUUCGAAAUAUGUGAUCUAGGGUUUAUCUCUUCAAGUCUUCAGGGAAAACUGAAAUUUAUAAUGUUUUUGAUCUAAAAACAAUGUAGCAGCAAUGGUUCUGAAUGCUAAAAGGCCCUAAUUGGAUGAAGCCGGACAAUGCACGAAACAAGGAAAACUGAAAUUUGUACUGUUUUUUAUCUCAAAACAAUGUAGCAGCAAUGGUUCUGAAUGCGAAAAGGCCCUACUUGGAUGAAGCUGGACAAUGCAUGAAACAAGUGAGUGUAAUUUUUGUUGCCGGAAGAUUAUAUGGCUGAAAUGAUGACUGAAAGUUUUCUGUUGCGUUUUUUACAUGUAAUUUCUUGGGAGUUUAAGUGGCUUUCAUAGUUAGGAGUUUCUUCAGAUUUAGUACACUUAUGAAUUGCUCUUGAUGAUAUGAAGGGUUGACUUUGAAUUGAAAGCAAGUUAUAAAUAAUCACAAGCAUUGAUUGGGUUA